CAUCCUCACUUUCAGGCCCAAGGGAAUCCGACCCGCAGCGAUCAGACCCCGCCCCUUCAGGGAGAACACGGCCCGUUGGCCCCGCUCACGGCGAGAGCACCGCCCACAGGCUGAAGAUCCUGCCCCUUCAGGACGGCCGAGAACGCGCCUGCCUUGCACCACCCCCACCCCGCCCCGCGUCCUUCAGGAGAGCCGGAAACGCUCCUACCCCUACUUCGCUUCUGCACGGCCGCGAGAACGCACCUGUCCAGCCCCCUGUUCGCUCCGCCCACUCAGCGCGCGCGGGAGCGCGCGCGGGAGCAGCUCCAACUUUUUCAAUUUGCCGCCAUCUUUACGGCGGCCGACUUCCCAGCCUGCCUCGCGUCCAGGGAGGCGGAGCUCAGAUGAGGUCCGGGGAAUGAGGUGAUUCGCCCAAAAGCACACUACAAAUUGGAGUCACCAGCAGGUCUGCUAUUUUGCCACUAAACCAAUCUGCCGGUCACACCUUGGCUGUAAAGUGUCCUAACAGCCACCUACUUAUGAUUACUGCUUUCUUACCAAUAACCUCCCCAGCCUGUUGUGUGGCUCCUACAUCUUGAACAAAAGCGACCAAGGCAUACAUCUGUAGGAGACCAGAAUAUGCCACCCCAAAAUAUGCCUCCUUGGCCUAAGGAUUAUUCUGAGCUAGUAAUUUUGAGAAACAGAAGCUAUGAAAACAGCAUAAGCUACCCCUUUGAAAGAGAAAUUCACCCCGGCCACCACCCCGUCUGGGAAGUGAGGAGCGUCUCUGCCCAGCCGCCCCGUCUGAGAAGUGAGGAGCCCCUCCGC
rnacentral:lncRNA from 1 species